rnacentral:rRNA from 1 species
GACAGAGGUGCCAAGCGUUAGGCGGAAUCACGGGGCUUAAAGCGUGUGUAGGCGGAUCGUUAAGUGCCUUGUGAAAUCCCACGGCUCAACCGUGGAACUGCUUGGCAUACUGGCGGUCUUGAGCAACCUAGGGGCGAGCGGAACAAAUGGUGGAGCGGUGAAAUGCGUAGAUAUCAUUUGGAACGCCAAUGGUGAAAACAGCUCGCUGGGGGUUUGCUGACGCUGAGACACGAAAGCCAGGGGAGCAAACGGG